GUGCUGCAUUUGAAAAUCAGUCUCUCGGUUACCUGUCAAGUCCAGAGCUUCAGGAGUUUGAGGUAUACCCUGGAAUAGCAGCUGACAAGCUAUUGAAAUGAAAAUUCUGAAUAAAAUUAGGGCAGCCCAUUAGCCCAAAUGCGGGAACAUGGUAAGAGAUUUCAUGGAUUUGUGAGUUUGUGAUUUUUUUCUUGUCAUUGAUAUUCUUACUUUGAAAAGUAUAGAAAGUAAUUUUUGCAUUUUUUGGGGUAGGGAGGGAAUAAAAACCCAAACUGAGAUCUGAGGUUUUUAUAGUUUGGCAAAUUUCAAAGAUAUGAAAGCAGAAUUUUUGGCACUUGGGGAUUGAGAGGCAAAUGACAUCAUAUGGCUUAAGGGAAAUAGAGAGCUAAAAACGUACAUUUGGAAAAUUUCAGAAGCUGGCUGCCGCUGAAAUAAUUUUGAAUUUUUUUCCAGUAAAUUUAGUUGUCACAAAAGGCACUAGAUUGACAGCCCCGCAGAGGAAAGCGUGCGGGUCCGGGAGAUGCAAUGUCAGCUCCUGCCUGAGGAGCGCCAGGGCUGGAGGGCCUGUGGUUGCCUUGUCGGAGCUGGCCUUUCCGGGGCCACUCCCUGCGCUGGUGACACUUUGGGGGUCAUGAAUUAAGGGUGAAGAGAUCCAGUCCUGGAUGGGGAUCCAUACUCAGUGCAGAGUUUGCUUAAGGCUCUCUCUUUUUAAAAUAUGUAAGUAAAAUCUUUAAAAUAAAAUAAAGUGGUAAUUUUUUAUUGCAGUAAAAUAUGCAUUACAUACAAUUUAUCAUUUUAAGCAUUUUUACGUCUACAUUUCAGUGAUGUGUAGAACAUUCAUGCGGUUGUGCAACAAACAACCUUCCCAGAACUUUUUCAUCUUCCCAAACUGAAAUUUUGUCCCCAUUAAACACCCCCUUCUUCCUUUCCUCCCAGCCCUUGGCAAGCACCCUUAUAUUUUCUUUCUUUAUGAAUUUGUACCUUGGUACUUAGAGUAUUUGUGUAUUUGUCCUUUGUGACUGGCUUGUUUUACUGAAUGUCAAUGUCUUCA
rnacentral:lncRNA from 1 species